UCAAAUUCAUUAUAUUAUAAUAUAUUCUAACCUUAAACAACUCUAGAUAAGCCAUUUACUGCCUCAAAACAAUGGUUGUGCGCUCUUAUCCCAUUUGGGACCAAAUUUCAACAAGUUUUUUUUUUUUUUUUUUGAAUAAUCAAAGAAGUUCUGGGCCGAAGCCCAUACAUCCCCUCAGGCCCGAAACCAAAGCAUGUUAUAUGGUUUCGUCUCAAGCGCUACUCGAAUCGACGACCUCUAAGCUUUUUGUCAGAGAUCUUUACCAAUUGAGCUAUUAGCAC
rnacentral:lncRNA from 1 species